GGAGAGUUGGCUGAGUGGUCUAAAGCGCACGAUUGGAAAUCGUGUAAGUGUGAUGAGCGCUUCUGGGGUUCAAAUCCCCAACUCUCCGCCA
rnacentral:tRNA from 2 species